GAUGAAGAACGCAGCGAAAUGCGAUACUUGGUGUGAAUUGCAGAAUCCCGUGAACCAUCGAGUCUUUGAACGCAAGUUGCGCCCGAAGCCACUAGGCCGAGGGCACGCCUGCCUGGGCAUCACACGUCGUUGCCCCCCCCCCAUCUACUCCUUCGGGAUUGCGGGGGGCGGAUGAUGGCCUCCCGUGCGCCUAGCCGCGCGGGUGGCAUAAAUACCAAGUCCUCGGCGACGCACGCCACGACAAUCGGUGGUUGCGAAACCUCGGUUGCCCGUCGUGUGCGUUCGUCGCGCAUCGAGGGCUCGAAAAAAUGCUCGGCUCCGGCUCGGCUUUCAACGCGACCCCAGGUCAGGCGGGGUUACCCGCUGAAUUUAAGCAUAUCAAUAAGCGGAGGA
rnacentral:misc_RNA from 1 species